rnacentral:rRNA from 1 species
GACGAACGCUGGCGGCGUGCUUAACACAUGCAAGUCGAACGGUGAAGCUCCAGCUUGCUGGAGUGGAUCAGUGGCGAACGGGUGAGUAACACGUGAGCAACCUGCCCCUGACUCUGGAAUAAGCGCUGGAAACGGCGUCUAAUACUGGAUACGAGAAGGGUCCGCAUGGGCACUUUCUGGAAAGUUUUUCGGUUGGGGAUGGGCUCGCGGCCUAUCAGCUUGUUGGUGAGGUAAUGGCUCACCAAGGCGACGACGGGUAGCCGGCCUGAGAGGGCGACCGGCCACACUGGGACUGAGACACGGCCCAGACUCCAACGGGAGGCAGCAGUGGGGAAUAUUGCACAAUGGGCGAAAGCCUGAUGCAGCGACGCCGCGUGAGGGAUGACGGCCUUCGGGUUGUAAACCUCUUUCAGCAGGGAAGAAGCGAAAGUGACGGUACCUGCAGAAGAAGCACCGGCUAACUACGUG